GAGUUUGAUCCUGGCUCAGGACGAACGCUGGCGGCGCGCCUAACACAUGCAAGUCGAACGAGCGAGAGAGAGCUUGCUUUCUCGAGCGAGUGGCGAACGGGUGAGUAACGCGUGAGGAACCUGCCUCAAAGAGGGGGACAACAGUUGGAAACGACUGCUAAUACCGCAUAAGCCCACGACCCGGCAUCGGGUAGAGGGAAAAGGAGCAAUCCGCUUUGAGAUGGCCUCGCGUCCGAUUAGCUAGUUGGUGAGGUAACGGCCCACCAAGGCGACGAUUGGUAGCCGGACUGAGAGGUUGAACGGCCACAUUGGGACUGAGACACGGCCCAGACUCCUACGGGAGGCAGCAGUGAGGGAUAUUGGGCAAUGGGGGAAACCCUGACCCAGCAACGCCGCGUGAGGGAUGACGGUUUUCGGAUUGUAAACCUCUGUCCUCUGUGAAGAUAGUGACGGUAGCAGAGGAGGAAGCUCCGGCUAACUACGUGCCAGCCGCCGCGGUAAUAC
rnacentral:rRNA from 1 species